UACGUAGGGGGCAAGCGUUACCCGGAUUUACUGGGUGUAAAGGGAGCGUAGACGGCUGUGCAAGCCAGAUGUGAAAGCCCGGGGCUCAACCCCGGGACUGCAUUUGGAACUGUGUAGCUGGAGUGUCGGAGAGGCAGGCGGAAUUCCUAGUGUAGCGGUGAAAUGCGUAGAUAUUAGGAGGAACACCAGUGGCGAAGGCGGCCUGCUGGACGAUGACUGACGUUGAGGCUCGAAAGCGUGGGGAGCAAACAGG
rnacentral:rRNA from 1 species